GGAUCCGGGAGAAGCCGGAUAAGACGAUGGUGAAUGUUUAGGGCUUCAAAAAUAUGAUUUCUUGGAAUCAAACCAUCGAUUUAAGAUCCGGAUCUGGCGGCUUAGAGUCACCCCUUUUGUGUUUGUAUUUGGGUCGCUCCCUUUACAAUUAGAUGGGUGCUCCCAUUUGGUGUUUAUGGAGUAUCGUGCACUUAUCAUGCCACAUACGCGGUUAAUAAGCAUAGUGUCUACACGACACAACGUGCACAUGGUGAUUAUGCUGAAAUUAGCCUAACGGAUAAGUGGAUAGCUGGGUAGUGCUCCUUCACUGAUUCAGGUUCUUGUGGAUCAAGAUAAAAGGGUAUUAUUGGCGGUGUAAUUAUUGAUAGGUAAUGCUAUUGGUUGAUGCAGCGUUUUUUACUACCAUUUUGCUUGGGGACCAAAGAUUAGUUGAAAAUGGUAUUCAAUAGAGUUAAUAUCAGUACAUUUGGUGUAUAAUUAUAAUUAGUAGUUAAUGUACCCGGUGCAAUGCAAGCUUUUGGUUUUGGGAGUUGUUUAGUGUAUGUGUAAAUAUGAUUCACAUGUUAUAAAAUAGGCAAAUGAUGAGUUUAUGAAUAAGUCAUGCCGAAUUUUUGUUA